rnacentral:rRNA from 1 species
AUGGAUGCUACAACUUUUUCCAAACUAUGGCGUGUUUCAGUUGUCACUGAAAAGGAUUCUGUAAUGCUCCCUGAUGCAGACAAAGGGAAGAUCAGAGCGAAGACACUGCUAAUUCAUUGUAAGCACCCGAGGGUUGAAAAUACAAUUUUCAGAAGAAUUCCCCGCAUUCGUGUUUUGGAUCUGACUGCUUCAUUUAUACAAAGUAUCCCAGAUUCCAUUGGAAGUUUGAUCCAUCUACGGUUACUUGAUCUUGAUGGGACUGACAUACCUGGUCUUCCGGAGUCUAUCGGCUCUCUGAUAAACCUUCAGAUACUGAACUUACAAAGGUGCAGAUUUCUGGGAACUCUUCCUUGGGCUGUCACUAAAUUGUGCAAUCUUAGGCGCCUUGGUCUUGAUCAUACACCAAUAAAUCAGAUGCCAAAGGGGAUAGGUAGAUUGGAAUUCCUCAAUGAUUUGGAAGGGUUUCCUGUUGGUGGUGCAAGUGAUCAUACAAAUACACAAGAGCCUGAUAAGGCGGCUUUCUAUGAUUAA